AUUGAACGCUGGCGGCAUGCCUAACACAUGCAAGUCGAGCGACCGGCGGACGGGUGAUUAAUGUAUGGGGAUCUGCCCGAUAGAGGGGGAUAACUACUGGCACCGGUUGCUACUACCGCAUACUGUUGUUUCAACCCAUAUUGGAUUAGCUAGUAGGUGGGGUAAAGGCUCACCUAGGCGACGAUCUCUAGCUGGUCUGAGAGGAUGAUCAGCCACACUGGAACUGAGACACGGCCCAGACUCCUACGGGAGGCAGCAGUGGGGAAUAUUGCACAAUGGGCGCAAGCCUGAUGCAGCCAUGCCGCGUGUAUGAAGAAGGCCUUAGGGUUGUAAAGUACGUUCAGCGGGGAGGCGUUACCUGAAGAAGAAGCACCGGCUAACUCCGUGCCAGCAGCCGCGGUAAUUA
rnacentral:rRNA from 1 species